GUGGGUUAAGAGCUCUCCUCUUAUUUCAAGGAAGGGGUUCUUUUAGGUUAUCUCAGAAUUUUUUCAGAAGCUGCUCUUGUUGUCUUAGGCAGCACAGGCUUUUAAAAACACCAUGAAGAAAGUAGUAUUGAGUGCAGGGAGUAUUUAAGUUUGUGAUUUUGGGGUGGUAAGGUGCUUUUUGUAACUUCCUUUUUUUUGUUCUUGAUUUUCUUCAGGGUACUGCAACUCCUUGAAAUUCCAGACUGGGACAAGUAUGAAACUUCAGAGCUUUCAGCAGAUUCAUUGUACCACAAAAGGAACCUGCCCUGUGUUAGAGGUGGCAUCUGAGAUGGAGGCUUCCCAUAGGUGUACCUUGUAAUGACAACUGCAGCCUUUGCCUUAGGACAAAGAUACACACUGAGGACCUGGGCACAUUUAGGGGAUGGUGGUCUGCAGCAUGGAAACUGCUAGUCCAGCAUGACAGAGAUCCUUGUGAGACGCUACCACGGUCAAGUGGUUUCAGAUGGAAACUACUACAGCAAAGCGAUGCCUUUGGACCCUGUGUUGGAAGUGAAG
rnacentral:lncRNA from 1 species